rnacentral:rRNA from 1 species
UGGGGAAUAUUGCACAAUGGGCGAAAGCCUGAUGCAGCGACGCCGCGUGAGGGAUGACGGCCUUCGGGUUGUAAACCUCUUUCAGCAGGGACGAAGCGCAAGUGACGGUACCUGCAGAAGAAGCACCGGCUAACUACGUGCCAGCAGCCGCGGUAAUACGUAGGGUGCAAGCGUUGUCCGGAAUUACUGGGCGUAAAGAGUUCGUAGGCGGUUUGUCGCGUCGAUUGUGAAAACCAGCAGCUCAACUGCUGGCUUGCAGGCGAUACGGGCAGACUUGAGUACUGGAGGGGAGACUGGAAUUCCUGGUGUAGCGGUGAAAUGCGCAGAGAUCAGGAGGAACACCGGUGGCGAAGGCGGGUCUCUGGGCAGUAACUGACGCUGAGGAACGAAAGCGUGGGUAGCGAACAGG